rnacentral:tRNA from 1 species
GGAGGAGUUCCCGAGUGGCCAAAGGGGGCAGACUGUAAAUCUGUUAUCAGACGAUUUCAGUGGUUCGAAUCCACUCUCCUCCACCA